CAGACACCAUAGCAUUUGGGCAUUAUUUUUUAAUUUACUACCUUGCUUAUUUUCAUUUGCUUUAAAAUACUCCCAUCCAGGAGCUCCGAGCACAUGGGAUGCUCCAUGGAUCGGUUCCACUUUGCCCAAGGAUUGAAGUGUCUAAAUCCCCACCCACCUUCUGUGUCCUCAAACUGCUCUGCCUGACUAUGAUAGAACAAAGUGUAUUUUGCCAAAAAAGCAAAUACUGUCUCUUCUCCUGCAGCUUAGACAAGAAGCCUGGCCUGGCCAGUAGCCAGCCACUGGUCUGGGAGUCCUGGUUUGCAAGUGUUUGUGAUCAGAUGAUGCGAAACUAGUGCUCAGAAAGAUGUGCAAGACCUGAAACACUCAUAAGACCUUGCCGGUUCUGAAAUCCUGCACGUCGAUACCUUAUCGCCUCGUCUAUUUAGAUAACGAAAGCAAAACUGUUCUGUUGUUUAGGCAAUUAAAACAUCAGUAAAUAACACAGCUGCAAAUAUUUUUGUGCCACCAAGGAGGCUGUUGCAGAGUUUGCUGCUGCCAGCUUUGUUGAAGCAGCUCCUGCAUCCAUGUUCUAGAGGAGUCAGAAAGCUCCAGUGAAGGUGAAUGGAAAAAAAAACCCGGUAUUUGACAUGUAGCAGAAGCCCCCUUGUAUCUUCUGCUUGGCUGCAUCACGCUGUCAUGGCUCUUCUUGGAUGUGGAAAUAGAUGUUUAUGACAUUUAGCAGCAUCACGGGAAUUAAUCUCUCUCUGAUUUGCUGAGUGGGGAAGCGCAACAGAAAGAAAAACAUAAGCUCUCUUUUAAAGCAUGUGCAGGCCUUACAUAGCAUCAUGCACUUAGUGACUUCCCAAAAAUGGUAAAAAAUAUAUAAUAAUUAAUUGAGCUCGACUAUGAAAUCAAGUCGUUGUGAUUGCUUUUUCUCUCUUAUUUCCACUCCAGGAGGACUUACAGCUUUAAGAGUUAUCUAGAGAUGUAGCCAAGCCCCAGAACAGGACAGAAUCUGAGGCAGAGAUGUCCAUUGUGACGUGUUUUCACAGACAUUGUUGUGUGUUGUGACUUCUCCACCCUGUAAUUUUGCAGGGUUUAGGCCCAGAAUAAUUUAAAUGUCCAUCUUGGUCAGCUCUGUGUGGAGAUGAAGAACAGCAAAAGCUUGUGAGGUCUUUAUCAAAACACUGCACAGUGUCAUUUCUAAAUUUUGUAAGACCUAUAGUUUAUAAGUCUUAUAAAGCUCUUAAAUGUACCCAUCUCCUUCCCUAGAACUUGUGGUUCAUUUUCUUACAGUUAACAGUUAACUACCAGUUAUCUAAUUUUAAAUACUUG
rnacentral:lncRNA from 1 species